rnacentral:rRNA from 1 species
CCUACGGGAGGCUGCAGUGGGGAAUAUUGGACAAUGGGCGAAAGCCUGAUCCAGCCAUGCCGCGUGUGUGAAGAAGGCCUUCGGGUUGUAAAGCACUUUCAGUGGGGAAGAAAGCCUUGGGGCUAAUACCCUCGAGGAAGGACAUCACCCACAGAAGAAGCACCGGCUAACUCCGUGCCAGCAGCCGCGGUAAUACGGAGGGUGCGAGCGUUAAUCGGAAUUACUGGGCGUAAAGCGCGCGUAGGCGGUCUGAUAAGCCGGUUGUGAAAGCCCCGGGCUCAACCUGGGAACGGCAUCCGGAACUGUCAGGCUAGAGUGCAGGAGAGGAAGGUAGAAUUCCCGGUGUAGCCGUGAAAUGCGUAGAGAUCGGGAGGAAUACCAGUGGCGAAGGCGGCCUUCUGGACUGACACUGACGCUGAGGUGCGAAAGCGUGGGUAGCAAACAGGAUUAGAUACCCCAGUAGUC